AUUACGUCACUGUGAUGUCAUCCAAGGAUGAGAAUUGUCUGAGCUCUCCUGCCAACGUGACAAAGCGGCGACCGAGAGGAAUGCAGACAUCUAUAUCAUUUGUGGCCCAGCAGUACAAAAAUAGUUCAUUAUUCAUAAUACUGAGCUAAAACACUCACAGAACUACACAAUAGUUUGUAUAUGUAUAUGUAAAGUGCUAUAGUUGAGUAAAAAUAUGUUUUGAAACAUGUUGAAGUACAGGACUUUUUUUUAAACACAUCAAAGUAUAAUUGGGUAGUUAG